rnacentral:rRNA from 1 species
AGAGUUUGAUCCUGGCUCAGAUUGAACGCUGGCGGCAGGCCUAACACAUGCAAGUCGAGCGGAUGAAGGAGCUUGCUCCUGGAUUCAGCGGCGGACGGGUGAGUAAUGCCUAGGAAUCUGCCUGGUAGUGGGGGACAACGUUUCGAAAGGAACGCUAAUACCGCAUACGUCCUACGGGAGAAAGCAGGGGACCUUCGGGCCUUGCGCUAUCAGAUGAGCCUAGGUCGGAUUAGCUAGUUGGUGAGGUAAUGGCUCACCAAGGCGACGAUCCGUAACUGGUCUGAGAGGAUGAUCAGUCACACUGGAACUGAGACACGGUCCAGACUCCUACGGGAGGCAGCAGUGGGGAAUAUUGGACAAUGGGCGAAAGCCUGAUCCAGCCAUGCCGCGUGUGUGAAGAAGGUCUUCGGAUUGUAAAGCACUUUAAGUUGGGAGGAAGGGUUGUAGAUUAAUACUCUGCAAUUUUGACGUUACCGACAGAAUAAGCACCGGCUAACUCUGUGCCAGCAGCCGCGGUAAUACAGAGGGUGCAAGCGUUAAUCGGAAUUACUGGGCGUAAAGCGCGCGUAGGUGGUUUGUUAAGUUGGAUGUGAAAUCCCCGGGCUCAACCUGGGAACUGCAUCCAAAACUGGCAAGCUAGAGUAUGGUAGAGGGUGGUGGAAUUUCCUGUGUAGCGGUAAAUGCGUAGAUAUAGGAAGGAACACCAGUGAAGGCGA